AGAGAGUUGCUCGAGCGGUUGAAGAGGCACGCCUGGAGAGCGUGUAAACGGGUAACCGUUUCGCGGGUUCGAAUCCCGCACUCUCUGCAA
rnacentral:tRNA from 1 species